GACGAACGCUGGCGGCGUGCUUAACACAUGCAAGUCGAACGGAAAGGCCCUGCUUUUGUGGGGUGCUCGAGUGGCGAACGGGUGAGUAACACGUGAGUAACCUGCCCUUGACUUUGGGAUAACUUCAGGAAACUGGGGCUAAUACCGGAUAGGAGCUCCUGCUGCAUGGUGGGGGUUGGAAAGUUUCGGCGGUUGGGGAUGGACUCGCGGCUUAUCAGCUUGUUGGUGGGGUAGUGGCUUACCAAGGCUUUGACGGGUAGCCGGCCUGAGAGGGUGACCGGCCACAUUGGGACUGAGAUACGGCCCAGACUCCUACGGGAGGCAGCAGUGGGGAAUAUUGAACAAUGGGCGGAAGCCUGAUGCAGCAACGCCGCGUGCGGGAUGACGGACUUCGGGUUGUAAACCGCUUUCGCCUGUGACGAAGCGUGAGUGACGGUAAUGGGUAAAGAAGAACCGGCUAACUACGUG
rnacentral:rRNA from 1 species